ACUACACAAACAUACGAAGAAACAACAAUUUCAACACAAACAAAUCAUGUCUGUAAUGAUAGUCCAUUUGUCACGUGUUCAGAUCAUCAUGUGUGCGCAGACCCUACAUUGAAACAGUUAUGUCCCUUUAGUUGUGGAUUAUGUAGUUGUGCAGACAGUACAUUCGUGACCUGCUCAUCAUCACUCUGUUCUAAUGAUAGUUUCAGACAGCUUUGUCAGAAGACAUGUGGCAUAUGCGGAAUAUCCCUACCUGUUUCGACUACUGCAUCUUGGAUACAUAUACAUGGGAAAUGAUGGAAUUGAUAUAUUAAGAAUAACAAUUGCAUCUCACCGA